rnacentral:lncRNA from 1 species
GUUCCCAAGAAGCGCUUUCAGCCUCGUGACUGGUGGCAGUGAGUCCUGGUGUGGUUUGGAAGCUGCGUUUUAUGAACCUGCCCUCCGAGUGGAUCUUCCCGGGUGAUGUGAUCGGCAGUGGCCUCACCAGCAACAGGACUGUUCAUUUCCUUUGAAACAGCCAACCCAGGUCCAUUUCCUUCCACGGGGCCCAGCACGGCAGGCCUGGCGAAGUGGCGCGUUUCCCGGGCAGGUCGGGGCUGUGCCUCUUGCCUGGGCCGUGCAGCCACCUGUCCCUGCUCGUCGUGUCACAUCCAUGUGUGAAUCGAUAUCUGUCUAAAUGUACAUAAUUGUAAUAAUAUGAUUGUAACAGUAUGCCAACACCUGCAAGUCUAAAAAGAUGUGUCCACAGAGGAGGCUAAACAGGGAGAAAACACGUGUGAAACUCCUGCUAAACCAGCCGCGGGGUAUGGCGGAAUGAAUGCGGGACAGAUCACGUUCAGACGCUCCACUCGUGUUUCGGAGAGCACAGCGCGCGCCCAUUCGCACUCGGCGGUCGGUGACUGCACGUCGUGCAAACCGGCGCUGCGCACCCCGCUCCGCUGCCCCGGCCACGGCCGCCC